AGAACGAACGCUGGCGGCAUGCCUAAUACAUGCAAGUCGAACGAACACUUCGGUGUUAGUGGCGCACGGGUGCGUAACGCGUGGGAAUCUGCCCUUGGGUUCGGAAUAACAGUUGGAAACGACUGCUAAUACCGGAUGAUAUCGAAAGAUCAAAGAUUUAUCGCCCAGGGAUGAGCCCGCGUAGGAUUAGCUAGUUGGUGAGGUAAAGGCUCACCAAGGCGACGAUCCUUAGCUGGUCUGAGAGGAUGAUCAGCCACACUGGGACUGAGACACGGCCCAGACUCCUACGGGAGGCAGCAGUAGGGAAUAUUGGACAAUGGGCGCAAGCCUGAUCCAGCAAUG
rnacentral:rRNA from 1 species